AAAAAAACUGCCGACAUGAGAAAAGGUAGGCAGCAUCUGAAAAAAAAAAAAAGUAAAGUACCUGAACUAGAUUCUGAGGUGAGUGGGAGACUGAGAAACAAGCCAAAGAUGAGGUUUGUGGAUUUAAUAAAGGAGGACAUCAAGUUAGUUCCCAUUCUGCCUGUUUUGCAUGCUACUGUACUAAAAUAAAAAACCUAACAUGCAUGUCUUUAUUAGGCAUCUGCAGAGUUUGAUGAGAUCUAGGUUUUUCUUUCAGGUAGUUGAAGGCCUCAGUCACAAGCACCUGUAUGGGGGUUGACUCAGACAGGUGCUGGGAGUUUUUGGAUUGUCCGGGCCCAUGGAAAGUCAUGCACUGGAGCGCAGAAACAUGAAGAGGAAGGCGUCAUCCCUGCAAGGGCUUUGUGUGCUCCACUCUGCAAGAACCCGAUUGUUAAUGAUAAUGUGAGUGUGCAUGUAUCUUUUAUGAACUGCUACAGCUGUGUCAGACAGCUGCUAAAGGGUGUUGCAGUUGUUUAGGUCGUAUCUCCUUCAGUUACUCUCACCAUACACAAUCAAUUGAGGGCCCUGUCUGUCACACACACACACACAGAUUCAAAGACACAUACUCGCUUAAGUCCUUUCUAGUAGUUUGUAACUCUACUUUUGAGGACAUCAGGGAUUUAAAUACCUUAGGCUCAAACUGCUGUGGGAAUUAGAAUUUAAGUAUCCUAAAUACACCAAAAAUCUCAAAAUAUUUUAGCUCAAAGGUACUUUUUUGAUGGGAAUUUUUAAACCUGGAUGUCUAUGACACACUGUGAGGGCAGAACCCACUGCCCCACAGUUAAGUUAAGUUCAUUUGUUAUAUUUUUCUCUUGAAUAAACCAUUUCAUUUUAUUUCACACAUUUCAUAACAAAAUUUACUUAAUGACUUGUGCACACAUUUAGUUAAUUUUGUAUUGUUUUGAGUAAUUCUAUUCUUUGAGUUCUGUUUGAGGCCUGAUGCUGGGGCAGAGGCUGGAGCAGGAAACUUCCUGAUGAUGUGGCAGUGGGAGGAGCUGAAGAAGCUCCUGAUGACUUGGAAAGGGAGGAGCAUGGACAACUUCCAUCUGGAGAAGAUGGAGGGGAAAGACGAAGUGUAUUCUUAUGUUGGACUAUUGUUUGUAUUUUUUGGAAUAUGUUAAGCUUGCUUUGAGGUACAAGUUCAGUUUCUGUUGAAGCGU